AUUGAACGCUGGCGGCAGGCCUAACACAUGCAAGUCGAGCGGAUGAGAGGAGCUUGCUCCUUGAUUUAGCGGCGGACGGGUGAGUAAUGCCUAGGAAUCUGCCUGGUAGUGGGGGAUAACGUCCGGAAACGGGCGCUAAUACGGCAUACGUCCUACGGGAGAAAGCAGGGGACCUUCGGGCCUUACUCUAUCAGAGGCGCAUAGGUCGGAUAUGCUAGUUGGUGAGGUAAUGGCUCACCAAGGCGAUGAUCCGUAACUGGUCUGAGAGGAUGAUCAGUCACACUGGAACUGAGACACGGUCCAGACUCCUACGGGAGGCAGCAGUGGGGAAUAUUGGACAAUGGGCGAAAGCCUGAUCCAGCCAUGCCGCGUGUGUGAAGAAGGUCUUCGGAUUGUAAAGCACUUUAAGUUGGGAGGAAGGGCAGUAAGCUAAUACCUUGCUGUUUUGACGUUACCGACAGAAUAAGCACCGGCUAACUUCGUGCCAGCCGCCGCCGUAAAAC
rnacentral:rRNA from 1 species